AACAGUUGGUAUAAGCUUUUAGUUCUUUGAAUUUGCACUAUAACAGAAUUAGGUUAUAUGGACACAUGUUUGGGACACUUUUGAGUAAGUGUCUCAUUUAUGCUAAAACUUAAAAAAAUAUCUACUUAUGCCUAAAUAUAAAGCCCAAUCCAACCAAAAAUAAAAGAUUAUUCUACUCAACCCACCACACCCAGUCAAUUUGACCCGAUUACAAACAGAAAAGAAAAAAAAAAAAAGAAAAAUCAAUUACCAACUUUUCUUCUUUCUCACUCAAUUCAUUGAAAUUCUAGACGAAGAGCCUUUCCUGUCGUCCUCCUCCGCCACCGCAGCCAAUGAGAUAGAGUCUCGGCAGUUGCUAAAUGCUUAAAUAAGUGUUGAUAAAUUAACAGCACUCUUUUAGGUUAUAGCGACACUCUUUAACUGUCACUAUAUAU
rnacentral:lncRNA from 1 species